rnacentral:lncRNA from 1 species
ACAAUAAACAACAAUAAUAAAAUAAAUAAUAAUAAUCAUAAUAAUAAUAAUGAACAAAAUAAUGAAAAUAAAUAAAUGAAUAAUGGAAUGCUUAAAUGAAUAAUAAUGACAAUAAAUAAACAAUUAGAGUACUUUAUUUAUUAUGUAACAAAUAAUAGAAUUUAUCUAAAUAAACUUAUUAAUUAUAUUAUUAAUUACAACUAGUCUAAGUUCUAUCGAAAUUUCGGCAGCACCUCCCCUAAAAAUUGGACUAUCUACCUG